AUCUUACGGUGAAUCUACGGACGGCUCAGAAAUUUUGGAGAAUCAGUUUGGUGAUGGAAAAACCAUGAAUUGGAUAACCCUGUUAAUGUAGAGCUAAUACAUGCACAAAUCAAUGGCCCGAUUGGGAAACCGAAAGGGUCGCACUUGUCCAUUUAUUACCCACUUCAUGCUUUGGGCAACACUCUCAAUUGGUGGGAGCAUUGGAGAAAACCGAUCACACAAAACCGGAGAGGAAGCAAAAAACUGAAAAGUUCAAGCGAAGACUCUGGUGGAAGUGAUUGGGCAACCGUUACAAAGUUGCUCCAAUCUCCCGGUGGGAGCAAUCCUGCAACCGAUCGAGGGGUCCAAGGUAAAGAGGAAACAAGACAAUUCAAGGCAGAUCGCACAGCC
rnacentral:rRNA from 1 species